AACGCGAAGAACCUUACCUACCCUUGACAUCCAACGAAUGCUGCAGAGAUGCGGUAGUGCCGAAAGGAACGUUGAGACAGGUGCUGCAUGGCUGUCGUCAGCUCGUGUUGUGAGAUGUUGGGUUAAGUCCCGUAACGAGCGCAACCCUUAUCCUUAGUUGCCAACAUGUAAUGGUGGGGACUCUAAGGAGACUGCUGGUGAUGAACCGGAGGAAGGCGGGGACGACGUCAAGUCAUCAUGGCCUUUAUGGGUAGGGCUACACACGUGCUACAAUGGGCAGUACAGAGGGAAGCCAACCCGCGAGGGGGAGCCAAUCCCGCAAAGCUGUUCGUAGUCCGGAUCGGAGUCUGCAACUCGACUCCGUGAAGUCGGAAUCGCUAGUAAUCGCGAAUCAGAAUGUCGCGGUGAAUACGUUCCCGGGCCUUGUACACACCGCAUAC
rnacentral:rRNA from 1 species